UACGGGGGGAGCAAGCGUUGUUCGGAUUUACUGGGCGUAAAGGGCGCGUAGGCGGUCAGCACAAGUCAGUUGUGAAAUCUCCGGGCUUAACUCGGAAAGGUCAACUGAUACUGUGCGACUAGAGUGCAGAAGGGGCAACUGGAAUUCUCGGUGUAGCGGUGAAAUGCGUAGAUAUCGAGAGGAACACCUGCGGCGAAGGCGGUUCUCUGGGAAUGACCUGACGCUGAGGAGCGAAAGUGUGGGGAGCGAACAGG
rnacentral:rRNA from 1 species